ACCGGUAUCGUAUAACGGUUAAUACGAGAGGUUUUGGUCCUCUAAAUCAUAGUUCGAUUCUAUGUGCCGGUU
rnacentral:tRNA from 1 species